AACCAGGCUGCUCGCAAAAUCCUGAGGUUCCUGCUCCGAUGCCGCCACAGCCCCUUGAUGGACCAUAGGCCUCUGAAACGGGGCCAGAGAGCAGAGAAAGGCCAGGGGUCCUGAGAGCCCACCACCAGGCCCCACACACAGCCCUCUCAGCCUGUGAGCAAUCUACAGUGUACACCCUCCUCGCCCAUCAUCUUCUUCCUUUACCU
rnacentral:lncRNA from 1 species